rfam:Gallionellales bacterium RIFCSPLOWO2_02_60_31 rifcsplowo2_02_sub10_scaffold_15503, whole genome shotgun sequence.
GCGGGAGUAGCUCAGUUGGUAGAGCGCAACCUUGCCAAGGUUGAGGUCGAGAGUUCGA